CAAGCAGUGGCAGAGAGCAACAUCUUGGUCUCUCCCCAUCAACAACUGGACACACUCUGGACUUGUGGAAUGGUGUGCGUCCACAAAGCAUAAAUCAUGUUUCUGAAUUGUUAACCGAUCUACAUUUCAAAACAUCAUUUCCAAGAACUCCAUAUUCUCCAUAUCCCAGAGACGAUGGACCUAAACACAGAGGAUCUCCUUAUAGAUCUGCCAACCAGGCUCGGUGGGUGACAGGUAAGUGUUUCCACCAAUCUGUUCAAUGCCUGGAGUGGCACGCUGGAACUUCCAGAGGCUUGUAGGCCUGAAGCAGUGUGAUGUGGUACAGGUAAGUAUUACACACACAUAUACACACACUCAAUCACUUAAUCAGUUUUGUUGUAAUAAUUAUUUUAACUUAAGAAAAUUGUUCCUCUCUCUUUUAGGUCAACCACAGUCUUCACAGCUGGAGUCGUGUGCCCUGCAACUGCUAAACUGGCCAUGAAAGGUGAUACAGUCUCCCCCCAUCCUCCGCUCUGUCUCCGUCUCUCUCAUCUUUUGCUCUCUCUCUCUUGGUCUCUGUCUCCCUCUCUGUAGAAUACAGUCACUCCUUCAGUAAGGCAAGUGACAGGUGAGCCAGCCGGGAGGUGCCUGCUCUGGGCCAGAUGCUGCACUGUCUGACUGACUGCUGUCCACAUGAGUUUGAGAUGUAUGGCUGCUACUGAGGCCAGGAAGGCAAAGGGCAACCACUGAACCAGCUCGACAGGUGUUGUUUCUUCCACCGGUGCUGUGGAACAGAUCAGGACCAUGAUGUUGGGUGCUAACCUGAAAUAUACCUCUUCCUAUAUUAGAACCUACUGAUUAUGUUACAUGUAUAAUACGUGUAUAUGGUAGGGGUCAGUGAAGGGUGAAUAGUGUUAGGAUCUAAAUGAAUCAAGUCGAAACUCACGGACGACUAGUAAAGCUCAAACCAAGUUUAUUCACCCAAAGGGUCUGACAGCUGAACAGAGAAAAACAUGUUUCCACCAGCACCAGUAUUUAUACUCCAAUUUGGGUGAAGUCUCCUCCUUUCCUCUAAACAUUCCAUCUCUGUUGCUAGGCAGGAAGUUAAUAAACCGGGUAAUAAACUGUUCCUUCUCCCUUAAUGUGACCUGGGCCCCAUUACUCACUAAUCCACAGCUCUCUGCCCUUAUAAGUGACUGCAAACAUGUGAUUUCUUACCUUUACUCAGCACAUUCCAAACUUAAUUGCCUCAACCAUAUUACAUUCCUCCUACAGAUACCCAGAUAACUUCUGAUGUAGAAACCUGACUGUGUCACUCCUCAUUUCCAUAGGAUACCUGAUGAUUAAACACUAUUUCAAGUUUAGGAGUCAGAACACAUCAAUAGGAGCUUUGUAUUUGGAAGUACAAAAUGUUUGUCUGUUCAAACAUGUUAAUUUUGAAUAUGAAUAUUUCUAAGCAAGGAGGUAAAGAGCAACAGUCUCGUCUCAGUUCCUGAUAAGACAGGCCAGUGGCUGUGACACUAGGACCCGGAGGGACGUGGAACUCAACUCGAGAUAAAGCCAACAGUUGAAGAGAGAUGAAACCUCAGGGGUCCACCCUGACGACCCUUUAACGACAGUCACUCCCACACCCAUGAAGGUUCUAGACUUAAGCUGGGCCAUGACAAUACCAGUAAGAGGAACAGACUCAGUUUGUGCCUAGCAACAGAGACAGAUUGUUUAUCUCAGACAUACAAGGAGGGAACUCUGCCUAGUCGGAAGGUAUAAAUACAUGCUUGUGUGACUUGAAUGUUGUGUUUGCAGCUGAAGCAUCCAGUAGGUUGAAUAAAAUUCUUCUGAGCCUUUUCUAGUCGUCCGUUUGAGUUCAUACUCGUUUAGUUCAGAACCUAACAAUGGGUUGCAGGCGAGAGAGAAAGCUUAAUGCCCACAUCACAUGAAUUUGAGAUAUUAAUGUAGGCAUGGUUUAUAAUACAAUGUUUAAAGUUUAAAUACAAUGAACGAUGUAUUUUAAUUAAUUUUUCCACCUCUGGCAUCCCCAAGAGUCAAUGGGUGGAAGUUAGUAUAGAAUAUAUUAUAGUAUUUUAGGUCUACUGUAAGUGUGAGCAUGUUCUCCAAAUGGAAAGGUCAUUUGUGUGAGGAAAGAUGGUAUAAUAAAAGUGAGAUUGUAGUAAAGUGAGAACUAACGAUGAAGCAAUUCACGUGAAGAAGUUAAGACUAUUGUCUCGCCGGUAUUCAAUAAAUGACUAAAUAAAAAUAAACCGACAUGUUAGGAUUUGGCAAUUUGAGAAAAGCGUGGUAGUUAAAAGUUAGACCAUUGGCAAGACUGGUAAUUCAAGAAAGUGAUAUGUUUUAUUUCUGUUCAUUCUUUAAUUACUCAUGAGGUCAUGUUGAGGUUAGUGAAUCGAAACGAGGCCUUAGUGUAUAAAAAUGGCUUUUUUUUUACCUACCUGUAUAAUAAAAAUAAAUAUUCUGCA